rnacentral:lncRNA from 1 species
AGAUGCCACAGUUGAGUAGGCAUGUAUUACAUGUCCAUUUCAUGUACCUAAGAUGCGACAAACUUGCAGUGAGAUUUCCAAGCUUUGUACACUUAGCAAGGUAUAUUGUUCACGAUACUGUCACAGUUUUUUGGAAANAAUUUGAAUUCGAAGGCGAUGCAUGAUAAACAUAGUGAAAUUAAGGAACAAAACUAACCGUGCAAGCUUGAUGGGUCUAGAGUGGCAUCAGGGCGCAUGCUCCAGAAAAGCAGUGCAUCGCCCAUUUUUGGUUUUACAGAAACGCCUUUCUUAGCACACUCCGACAUUCCACUCCACCCAGCCACGGAGCUAACAUUUCCCUUGGCUGCUGGAAAGACUGUCUCACCGCCUUCUUCAACAUCUGACCUGCAUUAUUUUGGGAGGGGUGGGUGGGUGGGUGGGCGGCAGUGGGGUGUAGUAGGGAAGUUUAAAAUUUUUUAAAAAAAAAAAAAAAAAAUUUUGGAGGGGUGGGUGGUGGUGGGUUAGCGGCAAAACAGGUCGGGUCGGACCGGACCCAUAACAAACGGGUCGGGUCGGAUCUGGACCCGUCAGGUUUAGGGUCUAAAUGGGUCGGGUCUAGAACCAGAACCAGAACCAUUGCUUAUAGCUCAACGGGUAAUGAACGGUUUUGGUUCUGGUCCGGGUAAAACCCACCCAUUGACAUCCCUAGUUACAAUCAACAUAAAGGUUGAAACCUUUUGAAGUUGAAUUAUUGUAUCGCAAUAUAGUUACUUCAUGUUUAAACACAAACCAACCAAGUAUCGAGUAAAUCAGAUGCCACAGUUGAGUAGGCAUGUAUUACAUGUCCAUUUCAUGUACCUAAGAUGCGACAAACUUGCAGUGAGAUUUCCAAGCUUUGUACACUUAGCAAGGUAUAUUGUUCACGAUACUGUCACAGUUUUUUUGGAAAUUUCACAUUAUUAAUUGAAGAGCCAGAUGGAAGAAGGUGAUACAUUAUAUCAACCACACAUCCGUUAACAAAGUCAAAUACAUCAUGAUCGAAUAGCACAGUUUCUAUCUAUUUGAAAGUGAAUAUU